rnacentral:rRNA from 1 species
GCGAACGCUGGCGGCAGGCUUAACACAUGCAAGUCGAGCGCCCGUAGCGAUACGGGAGCGGCAGACGGGUGAGUAACACGUGGGAACGUGCCUUUUGGUUCGGAACAACUGAGGGAAACUUCAGCUAAUACCGGAUAAGCCCUUACGGGGAAAGAUUUAUCGCCAAAAGAUCGGCCCGCGUCUGAUUAGCUAGUUGGUGGGGUAAUGGCCCACCAAGGCUACGAUCAGUAGCUGGUCGAGAGGAUGAUCAGCCACACUGGGACUGAGACACGGCCCAGACUCCUACGGGAGGCAGCAGUGGGGAAUCUUGGACAAUGGGCGCAAGCCUGAUCCAGCCAUGCCGCGUGAGUGAUGAAGGCCUUAGGGUUGUAAAGCCCUUUC